ensembl:lncRNA
GUUAUCACCCAAUUCGCACACAUGAUAUUUUUCUAAGCUAGCUGCAAAUACAGACAUUUAUUUCUCAUGAUUUGAUGAAUUACUCUCCUGCUUCUCCAGUGGGCUCAUAUGUUUGGAGCCACCUGACCAAUCUUCUGAGGAGUGAAGACCCCAUGAAGCAGACCCUGAUUGAGUCCCUGCCUGACGAUAUUGUCAGUCGAGACUUUGAAGCCGAGUUUCUUAAAUACUCCUCCUAUGCUGAUUACACCGUAUCAUCGGGUAACAACGCGACACAAACUACCCUUUGAUUCUGAUCACAUAAAUAAUCGUGUGCAUCCACAUAUUUUGUCUUUUUUCAGGCAUGGGCCUUGCAAAUGUAGAAACCUCUCUGGUUUUUUCACCUAAGUCCUUCCUACCGAGGUCGGCCACCGCGAACCUGACGGUGUAUUUUCACGGCAGAGCUUACAAUCUUCUGGAAGUGGACGUUCACGUGGAAAACGCCGAGCACCUCGUGAAGAACUUUUUCGGUAAAGAGGAGCGCGAGUGUGACACCGAGGCUGCGCAAAGCAAAGAGCCCAGAAGAAUGAGGAGAAGAACAGAGGAUGCCCACAAAGAAGGAAAGGAGGCAUGUUUAAACCGAGCCCGCAGUUUUUUGGACCAGGCCAAGGCCAUGGUGAGCUCCCAGAAUCACUGCAUCUCCCUGAAUUGGUGUAAAAUAUUUGGGCCUCAAACCUAUGGAGAAUAGCCAAUUUAAGGAUAUUGUAUAAAAUAUAAAGAUUGACGUUUUUAGAUAUCAAAAAGAGGAAGAAUGUCGUCUACAGCAGAGACUCUUCUUUGCCUUUUCCAGCUGUUGGGGAGGAGGAGGACGGAGGCCAACAGGCCCAAGUGUUGGAUAGGUGUGAAGGUGUUUGGGAAUGAGCUCAGCGUGUUGACAUGUGAAGACCUCUACAAAGAAAUCGAUCAGCUGUCGCUCAGCGCUGCGGGUCUCGCUGUCAAGCUGCUAAAGGGUCACGAGGUUCAGCUGAACCACAGAGCGGCGCUGAUGACAGAGGAGCUGGUUUUGCCUUCUCUGUCUGGUCUGCCUGUCAAACUGGGAAUCAACAUGACCUCCCUUUUUUCACUGCGCCUGAAAGGCAACGUUAACUACAGAGACACGUCUCACUUCUCCCUGACUGGAUACGUCAAGCCGAAGUACCUCCGCGCCACCACAUCAGAUGUUUAUACACAUCUGCCCACUGAAGGCUAACUGGUGUCUUUCCCUCCCAGCGCUCACGUGGGGCUCUCUGCCUGGAUGGGGGUUGAUGGUGCUUUGGGCUGUGCUGCUGUGGACUGGGUCUCUGAGCUGAGGAGCUCCACCAGCCUAGACGGCAGUGUUCAGCUGCAGGAGGGGCGGGAUCUCAGGGUGACGCUGAACACACCUGAGGACGUGAUGGACAUCAUCUCCAUCAGGUAACUCAAUUCUGUAGGAGUCACAGACAGUAGGAAUGAGCAUUUCUGCAGCAUGCGAAUGAUGAAACUAGAGUUGUUGUAAUUCUUACUCCAGCUCCAGAGUCUUUCAGCUCAGCGGAGACCACAGGGAGGAGAUCCGAGGCCCUAAGACUCGAGUGCAGAAGACCACCUGCACACCAAAAACAUGCAAGUCCCCAUGCCUUAUAAAAACAAUAGCUUUUCUCUAUCUACAAAGUAAAUUGUUGCUUUGUCUUUUUUAUUGCAGGGUCUAAGAUGGUGGGCUGGCAGCUGUGCUCCAACACCUCUUACCCAUUUUCUGCUGGGGAUUUCUCACUUCCUCCCCCAGGACCAGUUAGCGUGUCACUGAGGCUGCUGAAGCUGGACAGAGGCCUUCAUUACUACGUGUUGGAGGCAGCCUAUUCGCUCCUCGCUCAGGUGCUUGGAAAUACAAAUAUGGGCCUGUAAUCUUGUCUAUGAAGUAAAAUAAAAUGACAAGUUUAUCUCUCCGUUUAUGUUUCAGAGAGGCAGCUGGCUGCCCAGAGAGGCCUCCCUCCACGUCCUUUUGGCCACUCCCCAGUCCUCCAUUCCCAGGGACAUGUCUCUGGAUCUAAAUUUCAGCCCGAACAGGCUGCUGCUGAGGAUUACUCAUCCUCUGAAAACCAUCCUCAUUCAAGGUGCGUCACAAAGGAGCUCCCUCACAAAACCGCCAACUUCUGUUUUAGCUGAAACCUUGCUCUCCUCUCAGGGCAACUUGUGCAGGACCGAAGCGUCAUGUCGGGAAAGAUGGAGCUGUCGAUCGAUGGCGUUCACUAUUACAUCCUGGUAUUUACCGACUGUGCUGUGAAUCCUCAUUUGGAUUUCCAUAUUAAGGAAACAGAUCAAAAUAAU